GAUGAACGCUGGCGGCGUGCUUAACACAUGCAAGUCGAACGGAAAGGCCCAAGCUUGCUUGGGUACUCGAGUGGCGAACGGGUGAGUAACACGUGGGUGAUCUGCCCUGCACUUCGGGAUAAGCCUGGGAAACUGGGUCUAAUACCGGAUAGGACGAUGGUUUGGAUGCCAUUGUGGAAAGUUUUUUCGGUGUGGGAUGAGCUCGCGGCCUACCAGCUUGUUGGUGGGGUAAUGGCCUACCAAGGCGUCGACGGGUAGCCGGCCUGAGAGGGUGUACGGCCACAUUGGGACUGAGAUACGGCCCAGACUCCUACGGGAGGCAGCAGUGGGGAAUAUUGCACAAUGGGCGCAAGCCUGAUGCAGCGACGCCGCGUGGGGGAUGACGGCCUUCGGGUUGUAAACUCCUUUCGCUAGGGACGAAGCGUUUUUGUGACGGUACCUGGAGAAGAAGCACCGGCUAACUACGUG
rnacentral:rRNA from 1 species